GCCUGAAAACUGAGUGAGGGGAAGGGCGUGGGCAUUUGCAUCUUGUGCAAGGAAAAAGGAAUCAGAGCAGUCUGCAAUGGCGAAUAAGCCUUUGGGAUCGACCGGAGAGUUCUUCAGGAGGAGAGACGAGUGGAGGAAGCAUCCGAGUCUCACCAAUCAGUUCCGACACGCCACUCCUGGCCUCGGCAUCGCCCUCGUCGCUUUCGGCAUCUACCUUGUCGGCGAGCAAGUCUACAACAGGAUCUAUUCUCCCUCUUCUUCUCACCACCACCAUGCCGAUGCAUCCUCCGCCACCCAUUAACUGCUACGGGUGUUACAUGGGAGACUCAAUAACAUGGAUUGUGUUCAAAGAUGCAUUCGUGGUAGCUGAAUCUAAGCUUGGAGUUGCAUAACACCCAUUACCUUUCACCUUUCUAUGUGCAAUAAAAGUAAAACUUUUGCUGGACAAAGCGCUUGAAGCUUGUGAAUGUACUUGAUGAGGUUGGGAUUGAAAUUUCCAUCAGAACUGAAAUGUUUAAUUUUAUAAUCUAGUGGUUCUAUCCAUUCAUUUUUCUCAUCACUACUGAUAAUA